GACGGAGGGUGCUAGCGUUGUUCGGAAUCACUGGGCGUAAAGGGCGCGUAGGCGGCCGCCCGCGUCGGACGUGAAAGCCCGGGGCUCAACCCCGGAACGGCGUCCGAUACGGGGCGGCUCGAGGCCGGGAGAGGGGGGUGGAAUACCCAGUGUAGAGGUGAAAUUCGUAGAUAUUGGGAAGAACACCGAUGGCGAAGGCAGCCAUCUGGACCGACACUGACGCUGAGGCGCGAAAGCGUGGGGAGCAAACAGG
rnacentral:rRNA from 1 species